rnacentral:rRNA from 1 species
CCUACGGGAGGCAGCAGUGGGGAAUCUUAGACAAUGGGGGAAACCCUGAUCUAGCCAUGCCGCGUGUGUGAUGAAGGCCUUAGGGUCGUAAAGCACUCUCGCCUGUGAAGAUAAUGACGGUAGCAGGUAAAGAAACCCCGGCUAACUCCGUGCCAGCAGCCGCGGUAAU